rnacentral:rRNA from 1 species
GAUGAACGCUAGCGAUAGGCUUAACACAUGCAAGUCGAGGGGCAUCGAGGGUAGCAAUACCUGUCGGCGACCGGCGCACGGGUGAGUAACGCGUAUGUAACCUGCCCGCAACAGAGGGAUAACCCGGCGAAAGUCGGACUAAUACCUCAUAAAACAGGGGUUCCGCGUGGGGCUAUUUGUUAAAGAUUUAUUGGUUGCGGAUGGGCAUGCGUACCAUUAGGUAGUUGGUGAGGUAACGGCUCACCAAGCCAUCGAUGGUUAGGGGUUCUGAGAGGAAGGUCCCCCACACUGGUACUGAGACACGGACCAGACUCCUACGGGAGGCAGCAGUGAGGAAUAUUGGUCAAUGGGCGAGAGCCUGAACCAGCCAAGUCGCGUGAAGGAUGACUGCCCUAUGGGUUGUAAACUUCUUUUACAGGGGAAUAAAAUGAGAUACGUGUAUUUGGUGCAUGU